rnacentral:lncRNA from 10 species
GUUGGGUAUAGUAUUCUAUGAAUGUUUAUUAGGUCAAGGUGGUUGAUAAUUUUUUCAGAUUGUCUGUGACUUCAUUGAUUUUUCUUUUUUUGUUUUUUUGACAGUCUUGCUCUGUUGCCCAGGCUAGAAUGCAGAGGCACCAUCUUGGCUCACUGCAACCUCCGCCUACCGGGUUCAAAUGAUUCUCCUGCCUCAGCCUCCCGAGUAGCUGGGAUUACAGGCACCUGCCACCAUGCCCAGCUAAUUUUUGUAUUUUCAGCAGAGAUGAGGUUUUACCAUGUUGACCAGGCUGGUCUUGAACUCCUGACCUCAAGUGAUCCGCCAACCUCGGCCUCCCAAAGUGCUGAGAUUACAGGCAUGAGCCACCAUGCCCGGCCUCCAUCUUUUACUUUCAAUCUAUCUGAAGCUUUAUAUUUAAGGUGCAUAUAUUUUAGACAGUUAAUAAUUUCAGCUUGCUUUUUUUUUUCCUAGUUGGGGAAACUCUGCUUUUUAAUUGGAUUGUUUAUUCUGGUUACAUUUGUUGUUGUGGUGAAAUUUGGAAAGUUCAACCUGCCACAACGUCUUCACUUACUAUUUUUAAAGGAUAUUCUCAAUGAGUGUGAAUAGUGAGUCAACAGCUUUCUUUCACCAUUUCACACAUCCUGAGCCUCCAUUGUUUUGAGUCAGCUGUCGUUCAUAUCUUUGUUACCUGUGAAUGCACAAAAUUUGCUCUGUAUGAUGACUAUGAUGUGUCCAGGUAGGGUUUUCUUUACAUUUAUUUUUAUGAGGGGUUUAUGAACUUUUUGAAUCUAUAAGUUGAUGUUUUUUCACUACAUUUGAGACUAUAUCAACUUUUUUUUUCUUUCAUCUUUUCCAGCCAUUUCUUCUUGGUUCUGGUUCCGUGUGUACUGCAUGAUAUUGUACCACGUGUCACGGAGACUCGCUUCCUUGUUUUCUUUCAGUUUCAUUUUCCCUUGCACUUCAGAUGGAAUGAUAUCUAUUGAUCUCUUUUCAAGUUCACUCAUUCUUUCUUCUGUAAUGUUCAAUCUCUCUUAAGAAAGUCCAAAUAAAUUUUUCAUUUCAGAGAGUGGAAUUUUCGGUUCUAAAAUGUCCAUUUGGUUCUUGUUUAUAGUUAUCAUAUGUAUGCUGAAAUAGCUUAUCUUCCACUCAUGUCAACAAUCUUUUC